AUAUUGGACAAUGGGCGCAACCCUGAUCCAGCAAUGCCGCGUGUGUGAAGAAGGCCCGAGGGUUGUAAAGCACUUUCAGUAGGGAGGAUUGGUUACAGUUAAUAAUACUAAUGUAGCUUGACGUUACCUACAGAAGAAGCACCGGCUAACUCAGUGCCAGCAGCCGCGGUAAUACUGAGGGUGCAAGCGUUAAUCGGAAUUACUGGGCGUAAAGCGUGCGUAGGUGGUUAGAUUAGUUGGAUGUGAAAGCCCCGGGCUCAACUUGGGAACUGCAUUCAAUACUGUCUAGCUAGAGUAUGGUAGAGGGAAGUGGAAUUCUGCAUGUAGCGGUGAAAUGCGUAGAGAUGCAGAGGAACACCAGUGGCGAAGGCGACUUCCUGGACCAAUACUGACGCUGAGGUACGAAAGCGUGGGGAGCAAACAGGAUUAGAUACCCUGGUAGUCCACGCCGUAAACGAUGACAACUAGCUGUUGGGAUUGUAGUGAUCUUAGUAGCGAAGCUAACGCGUUAAGUUGUCCGCCUGGGGAGUACGGCCGCAAGGUUA
rnacentral:rRNA from 1 species